rfam:Drosophila sechellia strain Rob3c scaffold_8921 genomic scaffold, whole genome shotgun sequence.
GUGCCAGCAGCCGCGGUAAUUCCAGCUCCAAUAGCGUAUAUUAAAGUUGUUGCGGUUAAAACGUUCGUAGUUGAACUUGUGCUUCAUACGGGUAGUACAACUUACAAUUGUGGUUAGUACUAUACCUUUAUGUAUGUAAGCGUAUUACCGGUGGAGUUCUUAUAUGUGAUUAAAUACUUGUAUUUUUUCAUAUGUUCCUCCUAUUUAAAAACCUGCACUAGUGCUCUUAAACGAGUGUUAUUGUGGGCCGGUACUAUUACUUUGAACAAAUUAGAGUGCUUAAAGCAGGCUUCAAAUGCCUGAAUAUUCUGUGCAUGGGAUAAUGAAAUAAGACCUCUGUUCUGCUUUCAUUGGUUUUCAGAUCAAGAGGUAAUGAUUAAUAGAAGCAGUUUGGGGGCAUUAGUAUUACGACGCGAGAGGUGAAAUUCUUGGACCGUCGUAAGACUAACUUAAGCGAAAGCAUUUGCCAAAGAUGUUUUCAUUAAUCAAGAACGAAAGUUAGAGGUUCGAAGGCGAUCAGAUACCGCCCUAGUUCUAACCAUAAACGAUGCCAGCUAGCAAUUGGGUGUAGCUACUUUUAUGGCUCUCUCAGUCGCUUCCCGGGAAACCAAAGCUUUUGGGCUCCGGGGGAAGUAUGGUUGCAAAGCUGAAACUUAAAGGAAUUGACGGAAGGGCACCACCAGGAGUGGAGCCUGCGGCUUAAUUUGACUCAACACGGGAAAACUUACCAGGUCCGAACAUAAGUGUGUAAGACAGAUUGAUAGCUCUUUCUCGAAUCUAUGGGUGGUGGUGCAUGGGCCGUUCUUAGUUCGUCGAGUGAUUUGUCUGGUUAAUUCCGAUAACGAACGAGACUCAAAUAUAUUUCAUAGAUGUCCUCAGGAUUAUGGUGCUGAAGCUUAUGUUAGCCUUCACUCAUGGUGGCAGUAAAAUGUUUACUGUGUUCGAAUGUGUUUAUGUAAGUGGAGCCGUACCUGUUGGUCUGUCCCAUUAUAAGGACACUAGCUUCUUAAAUGGACAAAUUGCGUCUAGCAAUAAUGAGAUUGAGCAAUAACAGGUCUGUGAUGCCCUUAGAUGUCCUGGGCUGCACGCGCGCUACAAUGAAAGUAUCAACGUGUAUUUCCUAGACCGAGAGGUCCGGGUAAACCGCUGAACCACUUUCAUGCUUGGGAUUGUGAACUGAAACUGUUCACAUGAACUUGGAAUUCCCAGUAAGUGUGAGUCAUUAACUCGCAUUGAUUACGUCCCUGCCCUUUGUACACACCGCCCGUCGCUACUACCGAUUGAAUUAUUUAGUGAGGUCUCCGGACGUGAUCACUGUGACGCCUUGCGUGUUACGGUUGUUUCGCAAAAGUUGACCGAACUUGAUUAUUUAGAGGAAGUAAAAGUCGUAACAAGGUUUCCGUAGGUGAACCUGCGGAAGGAUCAUUA